UGGGGAAUAUUGGACAAUGGGCGAAAGCCUGAUCCAGCCAUGCCGCGUGUGUGAAGAAGGUCUUCGGAUUGUAAAGCACUUUAAGUUGGGAGGAAGGGCAGUUACCUAAUACGUGAUUGUCUUGACGUUACCGACAGAAUAAGCACCGGCUAACUCUGUGCCAGCAGCCGCGGUAAUACAGAGGGAUGCAAGCGUUAAUCGGAAGUUACUGGGCAGUAAAGCGCGCGUAGGUGGUUUGUUAAGUUGGAUGUGAAAUCCCCGGGCUCAACCUGGGAACUGCAUUCAAAACUGACAGGCUAGAGUAUGGUAGAGGGUGGUGGAAUUUCCUGUGUAGCGGUGAAAUGCGUAGAUAUAGGAAGGAACACCAGUGGCGAAGGCGACCACCUGGACUGAUACUGACACUGAGGUGCGAAAAGCGUGGGGGAGCAAAACAGGGAUUUAGAUACCCUGGUAGUCCACGCCGUAAAACGAUGUCAACUAGCCGUUGGGAGCCUUGAGCUCUUAGUGGCGCAGCUAACGCAUUAAGUUGACCGCCUGGGGAGUACGGCCGCAAGGUUAAAAACUUAAAGGAAUUGACGGGGUCAUAGCUGUUUCCUG
rnacentral:rRNA from 1 species